AUCCUUGUCGGUGUGGCUAGAACACAAGGUGCUGGUGUUCCUCCGGCCCACUCCUCUCUCAGGUGUGUUAGCAGAGGCAUCCAGCCAAGUCACUGGUGAUGCUACAGACCCUGCGGACAACUUCAGAGGGAGACAAGUCCCUUCAUAGGGGAGAUAAGCCAACUGGAACUGGACUUUUUCAGGCUGUGAGGUGGCCCACCUUUUGUAGCAAGCUGGGAAGAGAAGCUUUCUGACCCAAUAAGAAAAGCAGACGUGUUUUGAAAAUCCUAUCUGGAAAACAGUGAAGCUGAUCAGCAAGAAAAAAGUAGCACACCUGCUUUUCCAAAUGUAAUGCAUGGAAAGAAGAAUCUCACCCCACAUCCAAAGUUGUAGGAAACACAAUGCUGAGGGCCUGCUAUGCUUUGAGAUGACUGCGAUUUAGUAGAUACUUGGGCUCCUACAUGUGGAUUUAAGAGGCAUGAUUUUAAGCUUUAAAAACUUGGGACAAUUUCAUCUGCUGGUGCCGAAUAUCAUUUCCUUUAACAGGAUCAUUUACAGGAUGGUAUGUUUGAAAGCCAAGAAAUGGUUGUCACUAUACUGAAAUAAAAAGCUUAACUCUUCAGUAGGUGUAAACAGUUAUAAGGAUAAUUACAUCGUUACUAAAACUACUGAUUCUUAUCAAUUAAAGAACUGUACCAUGGAACAUUCUGUUGUUUUACUAGCCUUGCCUUGUUUUCCGAAGAGAGGAAUAUUAUACCAAAAAUCAGACUUUGUCUCCUGAAGACCACUGAUAGAUUGGCUGAAUUUUGCCCUUGAAGCAGACCAAAGAAAGAGAUAUCAGAGAGCACCAUUUUUAUGAGAGCUGAAAGCACGAUUUAGAGUUGUAUUUGAGUAUUGUGAUGAGUUAAUAACUGUGGAAUUGACUCAGAAGCCUUGGUAGUAGAGAUUAGAGUCAGGAAAAUAGUCAAAUCUGGUUGUUAAAGCAAGAAAGUUCUGUCUCAGAACUGGAUUUUAAAUUUAAAGGCAAGAAGCUUGUCUCUUUGUACCAUAGGAGAGAUGAAAAAUAGCAUUAUAAUGCAGCUCUUGUGUUAUCGUAUGAUAUUUUGCUGACAUAUUUUUAUGAUAAUACAGUAGAGUUACACUAGAAAAAUACUUUGUAGUUGUUGCAUGCUUUUUUUCAUAUCCGUGUUGUUCCCACCUUUUGAGUAUGUUUUUAAAAUAUAGCCAUUAUUUUAUUUACUGGGCUUUGGGAGACCUGAACAAGUCCUCGCCACAUCCAACCCUGGAACCGGGAAGUAAAAGCAUGCUGAAGUCUGCUGCCUCACUCAGAACCAAAAAUAAAUCAUAGGACAUCCAUCAGCUCUGAAUAACUUAAGAGUAAACAACUAUUACGUGUGCCAGAAUGAGCAGACUGUAUAAAGACGGACGAAUAUAUCCUGAAGCGUUUGUCUGUUGACUCUCCUGAACCCUUUAAUCAGAGAGCUUUGGCUUUCCUUUAACACUGAGAAACCAAACAGCACUGUGAACUCUUAACCUGUAAGAGGACAUCCACCGAUUGUAUUUUUGUUAGAGAAAAAAUUAUAGAAUUGCCUAAAAAAGGUAUGUAAUUUAUUUGUUCUGUAGCAACAGGCACCAUGCCAGGUAGGCAGUUUGCUUUCACAAAUCCAUUUUGCUGUGUUUUACUUGCCUUUACUUUCUUUACUUUUGUCACAAACAUUUAGAGGGAAAAAUGAGGCUGGAAUCUGUAAUAGGGAUUCCUGAUAACUUGUGUGCUUUGCACUGUGAGAAUAUUCUAGGAAAUUGCUUAUAAAUUUGCUCGAGGCAUUAUAGCACAAGUGCUUCAGUCUAUGGAAUUUGUAACUGCUGUUUUAGGUUGCUGUCAAUUGCUUAUGUUAAAGCAGAACUUAUUUUAAGCUUGACAAACAGGAAAUGUAUUUUUAAGUACAAUGGAACUGCUGCGGUUCUCUCAGCUGAAUUUCUGGUGUGUUGAUUAAAUUCUUAAAUUAAAUAAAGCAGGUGUUAG
ensembl:lncRNA